AUGUGUAGCGGUGAAAUGCGUAGAUAUAUGGAGGAACACCAGUGGCGAAGGCGACUCUCUGGUCUGUAACUGACGCUGAGGCUCGAAAGCGUGGGUAGCAAACAGGAUUAGAUACCCUGGUAGUCCACGCCGUAAACGAUGAGUGCUAAGUGUUGGAGGGUUUCCGCCCUUCAGUGCUGCAGUUAACGCAUUAAGCACUCCGCCUGGGGAGUACGACCGCAAGGUUGAAACUUAAAGGAAUUGACGGGGACCCGCACAAGCGGUGGAGCAUGUGGUUUAAUUCGAAGCAACGCGAAGAACCUUACCAAGUCUUGACAUCCUUUGACCACUCUAGAGAUAGAGCUUUCCCUUCGGGGACAAAGUGACAGGUGGUGCAUGGUUGUCGUCAGCUCGUGUCGUGAGAUGUUGGGUUAAGUCCCGCAACGAGCGCAACCCUUAUUACUAGUUGCCAGCAUUGAGUUGGGCACUCUAGUGAGACUGCCGGUGACAAACCGGAGGAAGGUGGGGAUGACGUCAAAUCAUCAUGCCCCUUAUGACUUGGGCUACACACGUGCUACAAUGGAUGGUACAACGAGCAGCGAACUCGCGAGGGUAAGCGAAUCUCUUAAAGCCAUUCUCAGUUCGGAUUGUAGGCUGCAACUCGCCUACAUGAAGCCGGAAUCGCUAGUAAUCGCGGAUCAGCACGCCGCGGUGAAUACGUUCCCGGGUCUUGUACACACCGCCCGUCACACCACGAGAGUUUGUAACACCCAAAGUCGGUGAGGUAACCUUAUGGAGCCAGCCGCCUAAGGUGGGAUAGAUGAUUGGGGUGAAGUCGUAACAAGGUAGCCGUAUCGGAAGG
rnacentral:rRNA from 1 species